UACAGAGGGUGCGAGCGUUAAUCGGAAUUACUGGGCGUAAAGGGCGCGUAGGCGGUUAGAUAAGUUAGUUGUGAAAUCCCUGGGCUUAACCUCGGAACUGCGACUGAUACUGUUUAACUGGAGUGCGGUAGAGGGUAGUGGAAUUUCCGGUGUAGCGGUGAAAUGCGUAGAUAUCGGAAGGAACACCGGUGGCGAAGGCGGGUCUCUGGGCCGAUACUGACGCUGAGGAGCGAAAGCGUGGGGAGCAAACAGG
rnacentral:rRNA from 1 species